AUAGUACACCAAGUGAGAACACUAGAACAGUACACCA
rnacentral:sRNA from 1 species